CACCAAUCAAGCCUGGCUUGGUAUUGGGCCGCGGGGGCGACCCGGGUCUCAAAGUCCCCGGCUGGAAAGCUCUGAUCUCAGCGUCGUGGUUAAUCAAUUCGCCGACGAGAGGAGUGGUCCACGCCGUGAAAUUCUAUCACA
rnacentral:misc_RNA from 1 species